rnacentral:rRNA from 1 species
GAUGAACGCUGGCGGCGUGCCUACUACAUGCAAGUCGAGCGCAGAGGGGACGGGUGAGUAACACGUAGAUAACCUCCUAUAAAACUGGGAUAACUUCGGGAAACCAGAGCUCAACCGGAUACAUAUACAUAGAUCCGUUCUGCAGUAGCUAGUUGGUAAGCGAACGGCUAACCAAGGCAACGAUGCAUAGACGACUUGAGAGGGUGAUCGGCCACACUGGAACUGAGACACGGUCCAGACUCCUACGGGAGGCAGCAGUGGGGAAUCUUCCGCAAUGGGCGAAAGCCUGACCGAGCAACCCCGCGUGAUUGAUGAAGGUCUUCGGGUCGUAAAACUCUGUUAUUAGGGAAGCGGUACCUAAUCAGAAAGCAACGGCUAACUACGUGCCAGCAGCCGCGGUAAUUC